rnacentral:rRNA from 1 species
UACGGAGGGUGCAAGCGUUAUCCGGAUUUACUGGGUUUAAAGGGAGCGUAGGCGGAUUUUUAAGUGAGUGGUGAAAUCCUAGAGCUUAACUCUAGAACUGCCAUUCAUACUAUUAAUCUUGAAUUCGGUUGAGGUAGCUGGAAUGUGUCAUGUAGCGGUGAAAUGCUUAGAUAUGACACAGAACACCAAUUGCGAAGGCAGGUUGCUAAACCGACAUUGACGCUGAGGCUCGAAAGCGUGGGGAUCAAACAGG